UUCCUCUGUAUUCCGUGUCCGGUUCAUUCACACAUCAUCCGUCGUCGCAAAUCACGCGUGUCUUUCGUUUCCACUUGAUGUCCUC
ensembl:ncRNA F37B12.14 ncRNA